rnacentral:rRNA from 1 species
AAAGUCGAACGGUAAAAGGGACGUCCUUACGCGUUUGCAGGGGUACUCGAGUGGCGAACGGGUGAGGUAACACGUGGGUGAUCUGCCCGCCAUUCGGGAUAAGCCUGGGAAACUGGGUCUAAUACCGGAUAGGACAGUGGUUUUGGAUGCCAUUGUUGGAAAGUUUUUUUCGGUGUGGGGAUGAGCUCGCGGCCUAUCAGCUUGUUGGUGGGGUAAUGGCCUACCAAGGCGUCGACGGGUAGCCGGCCUGAGAGGGUGUACGGCCACAUUGGGACUGAGAUACGGCCCAGACUCCUACGGGAGGCAGCAGUGGGGAAUAUUGCACAAUGGGCGCAAGCCUGAUGCAGCGACGCCGCGUGGGGGAUGACGGCCUUCGGGCUGUAAACUCCUUUCGCUAGGGACGAAGCGCAAGUGACGGUACCUAGAGAAGAAGCACCGGCUAACUACGUG